rfam:Ovis aries breed Texel chromosome 9, whole genome shotgun sequence.
UCCCUGGUGGCUCAUACGGUAAAAGCGUCUGCCUAUAAUGCAGGAGCCCUGGGUUCGAUCCCUGGGUUGGGAA